rnacentral:misc_RNA from 1 species
AAAGUCGUAACAAGGUUUCCGUAGGUGAACCUGCGGAAGGAUCAUUAAUGAUUGGCCUAACGGCCUUAUCAACAUAAUCCCUCACCUCUGUGAACCGUUGACCUCCGGGUCUACAUAACAAACAUCAGUGUAAAGAACGUCUUUAUAUUUUAACAAAAUAAAACUUUCAACAACGGAUCUCUUGGCUCUC